rnacentral:rRNA from 1 species
UACGAAGGGUGCAAACGUUGCUCGGAAUCAUUGGGCGUAAAGCGCACGUAGGCGGCCUGUUAAGUCGGAUGUGAAAUCCCUCGGCUCAACCGAGGACGUGCAUUCGAAACUGGCAAGCUCGAGUAUGGAAGAGGGUCGCGGAAUUCCCGGUGUAGAGGUGAAAUUCGUAGAUAUCGGGAGGAACACCGGUGGCGAAGGCGGCAUCCUGGACCAACACUGACGCUGAGGAGCGAAAGCCAGGGGAGCAAACGGG